rnacentral:scRNA from 1 species
GUGCCAAACAAGCCGUCAGUGCUUUUGGCGGGC